AAAACUCAGGUAGAUCGAAGGCUCAAGUGGACCACACGGUAGGAAACAUGGAGAUUAAAUCACAUUUGCUUCCUAUGGUGUGGUCCACUUGGGUGUUCAAUCUACUUUAAGUUUGGGAUCAUCAACUAAAAUAAUUUAUUAAAAUUAAUGAUCGGAAUGGAUGACCCAAAUACAUCAUGGUGGACCCCACAGAGCUCUUGAUAGGACCGUCCAGGUCCGUCUCACGAAAGGACGCCCAAAAUUGGGCGCGUGCUAAAAAACGGAGCCGCGCCCAAUACUCUUAUCUCUCUCUCUCUCUCUCUCUCUCUCUCUCUCUCUCCGUUCCCUAAUCCUCUGUCCCUCCAUUCCCCGAUCCUCUCUCUCCCUCUCGGUCUCUGCUCCAUCUUCUCAUUCUCCUCGCUCUCUCUCCAAUGCAUCUCCGCCCUCUCUAUCUCUCUCUCCCACUCUCCUUCUCAACCCAAACCCAAACCCUCCUCUCCCAACAUCCAUGUCCUGGGAUGGCGCUCUCUCCUCUGUCCGAUUGAUAGUCCAAGGCAAAAAUCAUGUCCAGAGAUCGGGAAAGGCCUGAAGCUCCGCAGGUGCGAGGUGCGUGUAGUGGUAUUUCCGUAGUUCUUAUUCUGGGUGUGUCAUUUUCUGAUGAAAAUUAGGGUUUCGAGGGAGUGAUCGGCGGUAAAAAAUCAGGUAAAUGACAGUAAGUUCAGGCAAGAGUAUAAAAAAGUGUCAUUUCUUCCCCAUUUGUGGUAAGCUCCAAUAAGAACAUGCAGGGCUGAUGUAUUUUCAGCCCCACAGAUCAAUGUUUCCAUUGCAAGGUUCAAUAUUGAAAUGUGAUUAUCAGAAGCAGCGGGCUAUCAUUGAAAGAUUACCCUUGUAGUGAGUCUAGGUACAUGUUUUCUUCCCUUCUGUUGGUAUUUUCUUCUACCUUUACAUUUGAAGACUCACCUGAGUCUUUGUUUGGCUUGACUCGAUAUUUAAGAAAUGGCUUGAGUGACAUUGUAGUGCAAUAUGUUUCUAUGAUCUAGGUCUUCUCAGUUUUUUCGAAAAUCUGCCAUCUUUAUGUUUUUUUUUUUUUUCGCCUGAUUCUAUCUUCUGUUGAUUGUAUUAAAAUGCAAGAUGGGAGAGGACAAGGAUCUUUCAGUUAUGACGAACGUGGAUUU